GACGAACGCUGGCGGCGUGCCUAAUACAUGCAAGUUGAGCGCUGAAGGUUGGUACUUGUACCAACUGGAUGAGCAGCGAACGGGUGAGUAACGCGUGGGGAAUCUGCCUUUGAGCGGGGGACAACAUUUGGAAACGAAUGCUAAUACCGCAUAAAAACUUUAAACACAAGUUUUAAGUUUGAAAGAUGCAAUUGCAUCACUCAAAGAUGAUCCCGCGUUGUAUUAGCUAGUUGGUGAGGUAAAGGCUCACCAAGGCGAUGAUACAUAGCCGACCUGAGAGGGUGAUCGGCCACAUUGGGACUGAGACACGGCCCAAACUCCUACGGGAGUCAGCAGUAGGGAAUCUUCGGCAAUGGACGAAAGUCUGACCGAGCAACGCCGCGUGAGUGAAGAAGGUUUUCGGAUCGUAAAACUCUGUUGGUAGAGAAGAACGUUGGUGAGAGUGGAAAGCUCAUCAAGUGACGGUAACUACCCAGAAAGGGACGGCUAACUACGUG
rnacentral:rRNA from 1 species